UACGGAGGUGGCAAGCGUUGCUCGGAAUCACUGGGCGUAAAGGGCGCGUAGGCGGGGAGGUAAGUCGGGUGUGAAAUCCCUCGGCCCAACCGAGGAACUGCGCCCGAGACUGCUUCUCUUGAGUCCCGGAGAGGAAGAUGGAAUUCCAGGUGUAGCGGUGAAAUGCGUAGAUAUCUGGAGGAAUACCGGUGGCGAAGGCGGCAUCCUGGACCAUUACUGACGCUGAGGCGCGAAAGCUAGGGGAGCAAACGGGG
rnacentral:rRNA from 1 species